UCGAAUUUCCUUUUUUUGUCU
rnacentral:piRNA from 1 species